GAGGCCGCGACUGUGGAAAGUGGGCUAUUUCCUGAUAACACACAUGAAGAGAUACCUGCGCAUGGCCAUAAAGCGCAAACCCGCUUUGAGCAUGUUCACGCUAUAUUAUGUGUGCUGUUGAUGAAAUUUAAGCCAUGGAUCAAGGUUUAAGGCAUAGACCACCUUGGCUCCACAGAGGUAAUCAAUUGUCACUAAGUGAAGGUUCAAACCGAAAGGUGCCUACACCUAUUACAUAAUAUAAGAUACUUAGCAUUUUAAUUUGAUUUUUCUUAUUUCAUUUUAAUUUUAAAUUUUUUAAAUAUUUAAUUUAUGUAGGGGAUCGUUGAAUUAAAUCAAAUAUUUUAAAAUUUUGAAAAUCAAAUUGGUCAACGGCCAAGUGGCAAGCAUCCGCACACAAAUAAGGGAGCAAACAUGAAAAAAUUUCCAAAAGAAGUAGGCCAUGACAAGUGUCAUGCAUCUAGCGCAAGAGCAAGCAUGGAAAGGCCCCUCAAAGAAGGAAGAAAAUAUCAUAGGCCUUUUGUGAGGAUAUAUCUUUGGUCAUGGUAUUUGCUCUUUAAUGCACUUGAACUUAAUCCCACAAUCAGCACUUAAGAAUAAUGACAAAUNUGAGAUAUGUAUAGAGGCUAAAUUAUCUAAAAGACUCUUUCACUCUAUAUGUAGAAAUUCUGAUCUCUUUGAACUCAUACAUAGUGAUGUAUGUGACUCAGGGAGAACCUCAAGGGGUGGAAACAAAUAUUUUGUAACUUUCAUAAAUGACCUUUCUAGAUACUGUUACCUCUAUCUUAUCAAAGCUAAAAAUGAGGUUUUAAAUAAAUUCAAAGUCUAUAAAGCAGAGGCUAAAAACCAACUAGAUAAAAAGAUUAAAAUCUUAAGGUCUGAUAGAGGAGGUGAAUAUACCUCAUUUGAGCUGACCCAGUUGUGUGAAGAACAUGGAAUAAUUCAUGAAGUGACAGCUCCUUAUUCAUCCCAAUAUAAUGGAGUAGCUGAGAGAAAGAAUAGAACCUUAAUGGAUUUGGUUAACUCUAUGUUAAUUAGUUCAGGUGCAUCAAAAAAUCUUUGGGGAGAAGCUCUAGUAACUGCAUCUCAUAUUUUGAAUAGAAUUUCAUUUAAAUAUAAUGAUAAAACUCCAUAUGAAAUCUGAAAACAUAGAAAACCUAACUUAAAAUACUUAAAAGUGUGGGGGUGCUUAGCUAAAAUAAAAAUUUCAGAAAAUAAAAGAAAGAAAAUUGGACCCAAAACAGUAGAUGCAAUAUUUACAGGACAUGCAAUUGAGAGUAAUGCUAAUAGGAUUUUUAGUGUGUAACUCUCAAAUAAAUGAAAUUAAUAACAACACCAUAAUGGAAGCAAGAAAUGCAAUCUACUUUGAAAGUAUAUUUUCCUUUAAAACAAAGAUAAAUGAUCAAAUAAAUACCAAUAAUAAUUUAGGGACUAGGUCUAGCAGAACCAGAUUUAGAUAAAAAGAAGAAGAAGAAACUGAAUGUAGAAGAAGUAAAAGAACUAGAGUUGAAAAGAACUUUGGAGAAGACUACUACACAUUCCUAAUAGAAGACUCUCCUACUUCUUUAGAAGAUGCCUUGAAAUCUCUAGACGCCCCCUUCUGGAAAGAAGCAAUAGAUAAUGAAAUGCAAUCCAUAAUUCAAAACCACACUUGGAAAUUGGCAGACCUACCCCAAGGAAGUAAAUCCAUAAGGUGUAAAUGGAUCUUUAAGAAGAAACUUAGGCCAUAUGGAACUGUAGACAAAUAUAAGGCUAGGUUAGUAGCCAAAGGUAUUAUUCAAAAAUUUGGGAUUGACUUCUUUGAUGUUUAUGCCCCUGUAGCUAGAAUCACUACCAUUAGGAUCCUUGUUGCCUUGGCUUCCAUUCAGAAGCUGGUUAUACAUCAAAUGGAUGUUAAAACCGCUUUCUUGAAUGGGGACCUAGAUGAAGAGAUCUACAUGGACCAACCCGAAAAUUUCAUUGUCCCAGGUCAAGAGAAAAGGGUAUGUAGGUUGAUUAAAUCUUUUUAUGGUCUAUAACAAGCCCCCAAACAAUGGCACUUUAAAUUUGAUGAAAUAAUCCUAACUAAUGGAUUUAAAAUUAAUAACAUAGAUGAAUGUAUAUAUUAUAAAAAGAAGAAUAACAAAAUUAUAAUCUUAUGUCUAUAUGUAGAUGAUAUCUUAAUUUUUGGAACGGAUUUAGAAAUUAUUAAUGAAGUAAAACAAUUUUUAUCUCUAAAAUUUAACAUGAAAGAUUUAGGAGAAGCAGACCUAAUCCUAAAUACUAAAAUCAUAAGAAAUGAAUAUGGAAUAAUUUUGUCCCAAAGCCACUAUGUGGAGAAGAUUCUUAAAAAAUUUCACUACUCUGAUUGUCAUCCUGUAUCUACUCCCUAUAAUCCAUCUCUUCAUCUAAAGAAGAACUUAAGUGAUCCAGUCAAUCAAAGCUUGUAUGCCCAGAUCAUUGGUUCUUUAGGAUUUCUUGCAAAUUAUACCAGACCUGAUAUUGCAUACUCUGUGAACCGACUGAGUAGAUAUACUCAUAAUCCUAAUAAUGAUCAUUGGAUUGCUCUAGAAAGAAUUCUCAGGUGCUAUAAAGGUACCAUAUCUCUGGGAUUACACUAUUAUGGUUAUCUUGCUGCUUUGGAAGGCUAUAGUGAUGCCAACUGGAUCAGUGAUACAGUUGACACCAAAUCCAUCACUGAUUUUGUCUUCCUUUUAGGAGGUGCAGUUGUAUCAUGGAAGUCUACCAAAUAAACUGUGGUGGCUAGGAGCACCAUGGAAUCUUAAAUGAUUGCCCUAGAUGCCAUUAGCAUUGAGGCUAAGUGGCUUAAAGAUCUACUGAUAGAUUUACCUUUUGUGACUUCACCAUUACCUUCUAUAUAUAUUCAUUGUGAUUGUAGAUCUGCUAUAGAUAAAUGCAAUCAAAAAAAUGCAAAUGUGAAAAUGAAUAGGCACUUGAAAGUGUGUUCAUAAAUCAUUAAGAUACAAAUUAAAAAAAUAACUUGAUUGCACUAAAUUUUGUAAGAUUUGAAAGGAAUCUAGUUGAUCAGUCUAGAGCAGUGGUUCUAAAGUUGUCGAGGGGGAUGCGGCUAAGCCCAUAAGUAAAGUCACCAUGAUGGUAACCCAACCUAAAAAGGUUCAAUGGGUAAAAACAAGCUAGAUAGGUGACUAAUGAAGAGCACUAUUUGUUUUUCCCAUCCCUAAGGCAACAGUGCUCAUAAAAAGCAAGGGUUAGGUUGAGUUUUUACUCUUAAUGAAUCCGAGACCCAUGAGGCAGGGUAUCUACUUGCUCGUACCCUUUUUAGGAUUCACCUAUAUGCAUAUAGUCGUGAGGCCGCGACUGUGGAAAGUGGGCUAUUUCCUGAUAACACACAUGAAGAGAUACCUGCGCAUGGCCAUAAAGCGCAAACCCGCUUUGAGCAUGUUCACGCUAUAUUAUGUGUGCUGUUGAUGAAAUUUAAGCCAUGGAUCAAGGUUUAAGGCAUAGACCACCUUGGCUCCACAGAGGUAAUCAAUUGUCACUAAGUGAAGGUUCAAACCGAAAGGUGCCUACACCUAUUACAUAAUAUAAGAUACUUAGCAUUUUAAUUUGAUUUUUCUUAUUUCAUUUUAAUUUUAAAUUUUUUAAAUAUUUAAUUUAUGUAGGGGAUCGUUGAAUUAAAUCAAAUAUUUUAAAAUUUUGAAAAUCAAAUUGGUCAACGGCCAAGUGGCAAGCAUCCGCACACAAAUAAGGGAGCAAACAUGAAAAAAUUUCCAAAAGAAGUAGGCCAUGACAAGUGUCAUGCAUCUAGCGCAAGAGCAAGCAUGGAAAGGCCCCUCAAA
rnacentral:lncRNA from 1 species